UUUAAACGGUUUGAUCGAUAGCGCGUCGACUUUGUUUUAUUAUUUCACAAAUUAUAUAUUUUAUAAAAAAUAUUAUUAUUGAAAAAAAAUUUUUUUUUUGGUUAAAUUUGUUCGGCAAUUGGUGAUGCACGAGAUGUAGAUCUCCAGAGAGCCGACUUGACCUUCGAUAUAGCCGGUGUCUUGAUAUGAUAAGAGAAAAAUCAUAAUUGUUAUUGAUAUAAAGGAGGUAUUUGAGGAUAUAGAAGGUCUUUGAGGAUUUUUAAUACCAAUUGCUGGGGAUUUUUAAAUUGUAAAAGGAAAAUACCAUUUUGGAUUUGUGCAGUAUUGCAGACUAGGUAUCACUACGGGUCACCAUGGAUUCUAUGGACCCACGGCUAGUGGGACAGGCCUUGAAUUACCACGGUCAGCAGUUGCAAAAAGUUUGGGAAGGUGAACGCAAUGAAAAUGAACUUGCGAUGCUCAAUCUUAAAGAUCCAAGCUUUGAAAUUUAUCAACAGCGUCAGAAGACUCUCAGUUUUGGAGACAGAGGAAAGAGACUUAAACUUCAGCAGUUUAUUGCUAAAAAAGCAGAUACUCUUUAUGACAAAUCUAAUUUAGACAAAAGUGCUGAACCAAUCAAGCAAGAGCUUGGUGAUGAAGAAUUUUAUGCAACAAUGCCGGGGCUUGAUUCAUUUGUCACGAUGGAAAAAUCACAACGUAUAAAGAAUUUUCUAGAAAGUUUAGUAGCAGGAGACAUUAUUUUUGCACAAAUUAUGGGCAAAAGUUCUACUGGAUUAUUAUUAAAAGUUCUAUGUAAUUGCAGCGAUUGCCCGAGAGUUGUUGGUGAUUUAGGGAUAAAGGCGCUGAUAUUAAACUCGGCAACAGUACCUGCCGUUGACAAGAAAGGCGUAACUCGGGGUUACUUGGCCAAUGAUCUGGUCUGCGUGGUUGUUAGCGAAGUAAACGUUGACGCUGAGCGUAUCGUCGCUGUUAUGAAUGUUUCCCCUCGAGACGGACAAGCUCCGCACCCUCCAAUGGGUCUGAUACAUUCAGAAGACUUACCAGAAGCCUACAAGAAAGCGAUGGACAACAAAGGACAGAGUUAUGAAACAAUCUUGGAGAAAAGUACUGGCUUCAACAAUCCCAACAACAUUAAAUAUCUUAGCGACUUGAUGGGUCUUGGACGGGAACACUAUUCUUUAAUGGUGGGCUUGAGAGAGCGCUUUCCACCCAAUGAAUAUGCCAAUGAGUUGAGACAGACACAGGCUAGCAAGUGGGCUUUCAAGAGCGUUGCCGAGGGGAUUGAUCAUUUUAAGGCUGGACGACAUACUGAAGCCUUUCAAUGUCUUAACAAGGCACUUACUGUUGAUCCUAAAAAUGUUGAGGGUCUCGUAGCACGUGGUGCUUUAUAUGCCAACAGUGGAAGCUUUAAAAAAGCAAUUGAAGAUUUUGAGACAGCUUUAAAAUUGAAUCAUACGCAUGCGAAUGCGCGAAAAUACAUGGCCGAGACUUUAGUAGCUUUGGGACGUAGUUACGAAGACGAAAAGAAGUUCGAGGAAGCUCAAAAAGCUUAUGAAAAUUGUCUGGCUAUUGCACCAAUGCAUGAGGAGGCCAGAAACUCAAUUGAAUAUAUUAAGACCAAAACAACUGGUGUAACAGGGGCACCAUUUAAUUCUUUGGAGCCGUUCAAAACGUUUGAUGGUGAAGCCGAGCAAUCAGAGGGUAAAAAGGAUAAAAAGAAGCGCAAAAAAGAGCGAAAAUCAAGGUCCAAAAAACGGGCCAGGUGGAGUUCUAGCUCAAGUUCUUCGUCCAGUGGAUCCUCGAGCUCUUCUAGCUCUGAUUCGAGCAGCUCUUCUUCUUCCGGUAGUUCUGGUAGAUCAGCCUCGCGAUCGCCAAACCGGAAGAGGAAGCACAAGAAAGAUCACCGCGGCUCACUCUCGCCGCUCAGUAAACGCAUGGCUCAGUACAAUAAUCCUCCGGCUGCUUCUGCUAGCAGCGGGUCUCACGAUCCUUUGAGCUCGCAAUCUUACUCUGGAAACUCGAGGGAGAAAAUGGAUGAUUAUGAAAUUAAAGUAAGGAAAUUCCUUGAACAGACUAAGGAUGACAGCGAUUAUGAGGACAAAGUAAGAAAGUUUUUGGAGGAAACAGCUCGCUGGAAGCGCGAGAAGGAAAAGGAGAAAAAACAUUCCGAGACAGAUAAAAUAAAGAAGAAGAAAAAGAAAGAAAAGAAGGGCAAGGAUAAAGAAAAAGAAGAGAAAAAAUCACGCAAGAAGAAAAAGAAGGAAGAAAGAAAGAAGCGUAGAAAUAAGGAUAAGCUUGAGCGUGAUUUAGAAGCGCUUAAAAAAUCAUCGUUGCCCGACUUGGAGCAACUAGAGUCUAAAUUGAGCGCUUAUUACGCUAAAGUGGAAAAAGAAACUGCCGUGCUGAAGAAGUUUUACGCUCAGUAUAAUGAAAUGCCUCCUUCCCCUCUUAGUAAUGCGGAUAAACUUGCCGAAAGCUCACGACGAGAGGAAGAAUUGCGCAGAGAAAAAGAUCACCGAGAUCGCGAAGAUGGUGCCAAAGCUUAUCAUGAACGAGAUCCUAGAGUACCGAUGACUUCUCAACAGCGUAAAGGCACAUACAACGAUUACCUUGCAGAGGUUCAACGGAAGCCUAUCCCAGACCUUUUUGAGCAAGACUCUCAGCUGAUGCAUUCAGAACCGAAGCUUCCAACAUUAGACACUGCAGCACUUAACGCAAAAUGGAAAGCAGCGCAAGCUGCGCGUCAAAAAGAGUCCUCCCACUCAGUGGGUAAGUGGCAAAACCUCCACCCCAUAGAAAAGAAGACAAUUCACAUCGACAGUGAUGAUAAUCACGACAUGGACGAAAAGUUGCAACGCGCUGCCGUCGACAAGUCUUUCAACGUCCGCAAACAGAUGCAGCGUGAACUCCAGCAAGACAAGCGAUCGAGCCAGCCGGUGAUGACCCCAACUGUUCCUGUGACCAAAGAACCUGUUCCGAAGCAAAACCCUGUAAAAUACCCCACGCCUCAGCUGCAAAAUAAGUUCCAAUCUUACAAAGACAACUCAAUGGCUCCCCAGCCGUCGACCAACAGCAAGUUUACCUCGAAUCUUGGUGGGAAAUUCCAACCCAUCGGGCAAAGCCAUCCCCCAGAGCCGCCACUUCCGCCUUCGACCAAAGCACCAAAGGGUCCAAGGUCAGACUCUGACAGCGAGGAUGACCACUCUAGACAGCCGAGAAGACGCGCUGGCUCUCGUGGUCCGAUGAUUAAGCGUUUAAGCCGCGAGCGUCCAAUCAGACGCUCUCACAGUCGUUCUAGGUCACGAAGCAGCUCCAGUGGUUCUCGGUCCAGAUCACCGCGUCGGUCACGUUCCAGGUCCUACUCAAAUCGUCGUUCUGGCAGCUACGAGAGAAAAUACAGCCGGUCUCCCUCGGGAACCUACAGCAGGUCACGAUCGCGCUCUAGGUCGAGGUCUUACUCGCGAAGUCGCAGUCGUAGCAGGUCUGGAGACCGCGGGUACUACAGGAAGCGACAGUUCCGCCCGUACAACAACAACCGCGGCACCUAUUACAAGCCGAGGUUCCAGAAUUUUAAUAAUCAAAAUCAUCGUGGUGGCCCGGGAGGUUUCCAAAAUCGUAAUAGAUUUUACAAUAAUAACCAGCACAACAGGUUCAAUAAUAGGAAUCGCGGGUACAAUAAUCGUCUGAACAAUCGAGGUCGUGGAAAUAAUAAUAACAAUAACCGCGGAAGAUUCUUCCACAACAAACCAGGCUACCGCGACUUCAGAGACCGAAGAGAUUUCCGUGACCGAAGAGGAAGCUCCCGGGACAGAUACAGCGACCGCAGUUACUCGCCAGACCCGAUGAGGAAGGUCGAUGAAGCUAAGGAAAAGAUUAACAAAAUGCUGGAGAAUCAUGAUGGUAACCACGAAGGCAGUGCGCCGCCUCCACCGCCGCCUCCGUCUAGCAAGAGGCACGACGGCCCGCUGAGUGAAGGAGAAGAACGCGACGAGGAUGAUUACGAGCGUUGGGACGCCGGGGCUGGUGACAACGCCACUAAGCGAGAAAAAGUACGGCUUUCACAAAACUAACGUGACGUUAAGAAAAGUAGACGUCUUGUAAAAUGUUAUUUGAAUUAGUAACUGUGUAAUUUCUUCAUUUCCAAUAAAAUGUAAUGUCUCUCUGAUAAUCAAAGAAUAAUUGCUAAGCAGGAAAAAAUAAAUUUGUUUAAUUAAUCGGCGUAACCAGUUUAGUUUCCUUUGGUU
rnacentral:misc_RNA from 1 species